AUUUCUUUUGUCCCAAUUAAUUUUAUAUAUUGGACUGAGACAUUGGACACGAAGACAAAAAAAAUAUAUAGAAAAAAGUAAAGAUAGAUGGAAAACAUAUAAAUUAGUAGGACCAAAAUAAAAAAUUUGAGCUUUUGAUUGAUUUUUUAAUACUAAUAUACCAACAUUACUGGAUACAACAUUGGCUUUAAAUAAUACUCCCCCGUCCCGCCACAUUGUUUAUGUACACUAUUUGCACGCAUUUUGAAUAUCUCAUAAAGUAUAGUUCUAUAACGCAAGUAUAUUUUAUAAGAGUCUUCAAAUGGGUGCCAAAAAAUAAUGUAAAGAACAUGAUGGGAUGGAGGAGUAAAAGCAACCACAAAUCAAAAAUAUUUCCCUUAAAAAAAAGCACACACUUUGGAUUAAAAAACAGUUUCCUCUUCAACUCCACACUGUUUUGACAUAUCUACACGCCAUCUCCAAAAUUCUCAACCCCCACCCUACUUUCUUAGAAAUUUCCCAAUCCCCCAACUCACAAAAACACACACAAAAAUACAAUAUACACACACACAUCUUCACUACAUUCCCACUAUCUUUAUAGGGUCUUGUUCCUUGACAACCGCGUGUUAAAUAAGGGUUAUCUAACACACUGUACGGGGGCCGUUAGAUCUAUAUUUCAAAGGCUCAGAUUCAAUAUGAGAUUUUAAUGUAUCCGCUAUAAAAAACCGCGGAUAGGGAAAACUCCCUUCCGCGGUAAAUAACCGCGGAUAGGGAGUUUUCCCUUCCGCGGAAAAUAACCGCGGAUACAUUAAAAACUCAACAUUGGAUCUGAGCCCUUGAAAUAUAAAUCCAAUGGCCCCCGUACAGUGUGUUAGAUAACCCUUAUCUAACACAUGGUUGCUGUAGAACAGGACCCAUCUUUAUAAACUUAUGAGAUUUUAAUGUAUCCGCUAUAAAAAACCGCGGAUAGGGAAAACUCCCUUCCGCGGUAAAUAACCGCGGAUAGGGAGUUUUCCCUUCCGCGGAAAAUAACCGCGGAUACAUUAAAAACUCAACAUUGGAUCUGAGCCCUUGAAAUAUAAAUCCAAUGGCCCCCGUACAGUGUGUUAGAUAACCCUUAUCUAACACAUGGUUGCUGUAGAACAGGACCCAUCUUUAUAAACUUCUCUCAACUCUUCUCAUAAUAAUACACCUAGUUCUCUCUAUUAUACUCUCCAAAACCUCUCUUUUAUAAACCAAAAGCUUUACUUACAAAACUUUUGUGUCUGUAACUUCAUCAAAUGGAGAACAACAACACAUCUUUUUAUCAGUUCAGUGACCAGCUUAGAGUCCAGACCAACAACUUUCAAAACCUUUCGCUGAAUGACUCGAUUUGGAGCACUUCAUACGGGUCAAAAAAACCCGAAACCCGACGCAACUUCGAU
rnacentral:lncRNA from 1 species